rnacentral:rRNA from 1 species
UACGUAGGGUGCGAGCGUUGUCUGGAAUUAUUGGGCGUAAAGAGCUUGUAGGCGGUUUGUCGCGUCUGCUGUGAAAAUCCGGGGCUCAACCCCGGACUUGCAGUGGGUACGGGCAGACUAGAGUGUGGUAGGGGAGACUGGAAUUCCUGGUGUAGCGGUGAAAUGCGCAGAUAUCAGGAGGAACACCGAUGGCGAAGGCAGGUCUCUGGGCCACUACUGACGCUGAGAAGCGAAAGCAUGGGGAUCGAACAGGAUUAGAUA